rnacentral:rRNA from 1 species
AGCGAACGCUGGCGGCAGGCUUAACACAUGCAAGUCGAGCGGGCAUAGCAAUAUGUCAUCGGCAGCCGGGUUAGUAACGCGUUGGAACGUACCUUUUUGUUCUGACCAACACAUUGAAACUUGUUCUAAUACCUGAUAAGCCCUUACGGUGAAAGAUUUCUCUCCGAAAGAUCGGCGCGCGUCUGAUUAGAUAGUUGGUGAGGUAAUAGCUCACCAAGGCGAGGAUAAGUAGCUGGUCUGAGAGGAUGAUCAGCCACAUUGGGACUUAGACACGGCCCAAAAUAGUACGGAAGGGAGGAGUGGAGAAUAUAGGAGAAUGGGGGCAAGCGUGAUAAAGCCAUGACGGGUAAGUGAGGAAGGCGGUAGGGUUGUAAAGCUGUUUUGUGCGGGAAGAUAAUGACGGUAACGGAAGAAUAAGCACCGGCUAACUACGUG